rnacentral:rRNA from 1 species
AGAGUUUGAUCAUGGCUCAGGACGAACGCUGGCGGCGUGCCUAACACAUGCAAGUCGAACGGGGAGUUAGCAAUAACUCCUAGUGGCGAACGGGUGAGUAACGCGUAGAUAACCUGCCUCUAAAUUGGGGACAACACCGCGAAAGUGGUGCUAAUACCGAAUGUGGUAACUUGGUCGCAUGACCGAGUUAAGAAAGAUGGCCUCUUUACAAUGCUAUCGAUUAGAGAUGGGUCUGCGCCUGAUUAGCUAGUUGGUGAGGUAAUGGCUCACCAAGGCAACGAUCAGUAGCCGGUCUGAGAGGAUGAACGGCCACACUGGGACUGAGACACGGCCCAGACUCCUACGGGAGGCAGCAGUGGGGAAUCUUCCGCAAUGGACGAAAGUCUGACGGAGCAACGCCGCGUGAGUGAAGAAGGUCUUCGGAUUGUAAAGCUCUGUCGUUUGGGACGAACGUGCUUUGUGUGAAUAAUGCAGAGUAAUGACGGUACCAAAGGAGGAAGCCACGGCUAACUACGUGCCAGCAGCCGCGGUAAUACGUAGGUGGCAAGCGUUGUCCGGAAUUAUUGGGCGUAAAGGGCGUGUAGGUGGAUCUUUAAGUCGUGUGUCUAAGUGCGGAGCUCAACUCCGUAUGGGCGCAGGAAACUGGGGAUCUUGAGUGCAGGAGAGGAAAGUGGAAUUCCCAGUGUAGCGUGAAAAUGUAGAUAUUGGGAGGAACACCAGUGGCGAAGGCGACUUUCUGGACUGUGUCUGACACUGAGGCGCGAAAGCUAGGGGAGCGAACGGGAUUAGAUACCCCGGUAGUCCUAGCCGUAAACGAUGGGUACUAGGUGUAGAGGGUAUCGACCCCCUCUGUGCCGCAAGCAAACGCAAUAAGUACCCCGCCUGGGGAGUACGGCCGCA